rnacentral:lncRNA from 1 species
UGGCUCGGGGUGUGGCAGGCCCUGGUAUGCUGACCUGCCUGAGACCUAGGAAGGCCUCUGUAGGCCCCAUUUGAGUUUGUUAAUCACUCCACUUCAGGGGGCUCAGGCAACUUUAGUUUGCACCCUCCGGGGCUCACACAGAAUUUGAAGGGGGCCCUAGUGAAUAUUUAUAAAUAUUAGAGCAGGGUGACUGAAGAUAGGGAAGGGGAUAGCAGAAGUGUUUUUGUGAAUUUUAGUACAAUCUUAACUUCUAGAACUUUCCUGUGUGGUAGAGCCCCCUUUUACCCUUCUUGCCCACAUAUACACAGGUUUGCUCACUCAGUGGGCUAUAAUCCACUAAUCUGCUCUGCUUGUUUUGCAGGAGCUGUUUGUGGAGACUAUUGCAAAAGAUGCCUACUGCUGUGCUCAACAAGGAAAGAGGAAAACUCUUCAGAGGAGAGAUUUGGAUAAUGCCAUAGAAGCUGUGGAUGAAUUCGCUUUUCUAGAAGGCACUUUGGAUUGAUUAUGGAGCUGGAUGAUUUUGUGAGCCUUUGCUGCAUCCGUCGUUUUUCCCCUCUGU